rnacentral:rRNA from 1 species
ACGAACGCUGGCGGCGUGCUUAACACAUGCAAGUCGAACGAAGCUUGAUUACGGAUUCUUCGGAUGAAGUAUGAUAUGACUGAGUGGCGGACGGGUGAGUAACGCGUGAGUAACCUGCCCUUCAGAGGGGGAUAGCGUUUGGAAACGAACGGUAAUACCGCAUAAUGUAUUUUGACCGCAUGAUCGAAAUACCAAAGAUUUAUCGCUGAAGGAUGGACUCGCGUCUGAUUAGGUAGUUGGUGGGGUAACGGCCUACCAAGCCGACGAUCAGUAGCCGGACUGAGAGGUUGAUCGGCCACAUUGGGACUGAGACACGGCCCAGACUCCUACGGGAGGCAGCAGUGGGGAAUAUUGCACAAUGGGCGCAAGCCUGAUGCAGCAACGCCGCGUGAAGGAAGACGGUUUUCGGAUUGUAAACUUCUGUUCUUAGUGAAGAAUAAUGACGGUAGCUAAGGAGCAAGCCACGGCUAACUACGUGCCAGCAGCCGCGGUAAUACGUAGGUGGCAAGCGUUGUCCGGAAUUACUGGGUGUAAAGGGAGCGCAGGCGGGUGAUCAAGUCAGCUGUGAAAACUACGGGCUUAACCCGUAGACUGCAGUUGAAACUGUUCAUCUUGAGUGAAGUAGAGGUUGGCGGAAUUCCGAGUGUAGCGGUGAAAUGCGUAGAUAUUCGGAGGAACACCGGUGGCGAAGGCGGCCAACUGGGCUUUAACUGACGCUGAGGCUCGAAAGUGUGGGGAGCAAACAGGAUUAGAUACCCUGGUAGUCCACACUGUAAACGAUGAUUGCUAGGUGUGGGGGGUCUGACCCCUUCCGUGCCGGAGCUAACGCAAUAAGCAAUCCACCUGGGGAGUACGACCGCAAGGUUGAAACUCAAAGGAAUUGACGGGGACCCGCACAAGCAGUGGAUUAUGUGGUUUAAUUCGAAGCAACGCGAAGAACCUUACCAGCACUUGACAUCCAACUAACGAAAUAGAGAUAUAUUAGGUGCCCUUCGGGGAAAGUUGAGACAGGUGGUGCAUGGUUGUCGUCAGCUCGUGUCGUGAGAUGUUGGGUUAAGUCCCGCAACGAGCGCAACCCUUAUCUUCAGUAGCCAGCAUUAAGGAUGGGCACUCUGGAGAGACUGCCAGGGAUAACCUGGAGGAAGGUGGGGAUGACGUCAAAUCAUCAUGCCCCUUAUGACCAGGGCUACACACGUGCUACAAUGGCGCAUACAAAGAGAAGCGACCUCGCGAGAGCAAGCGGACCUCAUAAAGUGCGUCGUAGUCCGGAUUGGAGUCUGCAACUCGACUCCAUGAAGUCGGAAUCGCUAGUAAUCGUGGAUCAGAAUGCCACGGUGAAUACGUUCCCGGGCCUUGUACACACCGCCCGUCACACCAUGAGAGUCGGGAAUACCCGAAGCCUGUGAGCCAACAUAUUUAUAUGAGGCAGCAGUCGAAGGUAGAAUCGAUGAUUGGGGUG